UACGGGGGGGCAAGCGUUGUUCGGAAUUACUGGGCGUAAAGGGCUCGUAGGUGGCCAACUCAGUCAGACGUGAAAUCCCUCGGCUUAACCGGGGAACUGCGUCUGAUACUGGAUGGCUUGAGUUUGGGAGAGGGACGCGGAAUUCCAGGUGUAGCGGUGAAAUGCGUAGAUAUCUGGAGGAACACCGGUGGCGAAGGCGGCGUCCUGGACCGGCAUUGACGCUGAGGAGCGAAAGCCAGGGGAGCAAACGGG
rnacentral:rRNA from 1 species